rnacentral:rRNA from 1 species
AGCGAACGCUGGCGGCAGGCCUAACACAUGCAAGUCGAACGAACUCUUCGGAGUUAGUGGCGGACGGGUGAGUAACACGUGGGAACGUGCCUUUAGGUUCGGAAUAACUCAGGGAAACUUGUGCUAAUACCGAAUGUGCCCUUCGGGGGAAAGAUUUAUCGCCUUUAGAGCGGCCCGCGUCUGAUUAGCUAGUUGGUGAGGUAAAGGCUCACCAAGGCGACGAUCAGUAGCUGGUCUGAGAGGAUGAUAAGCCACAUUGGGACUGAGACACGGCCCAAACUCCUACGGGAGGCAGCAGUGGGGAAUCUUGCGCAAUGGGCGAAAGCCUGACGCAGCCAUGCCGCGUGAAUGAUGAAGGUCUUAGGAUUGUAAAAUUCUUUCACCGGGGACGAUAAUGACGGUACCCGGAGAAGAAGCCCCGGCUAACUUCGUG